rnacentral:other from 1 species
UUGUGGCUGAACCGCCGGACUCAGAGGCAGGCCCCAAAAACCCCGAGCGAGUAGGGGGCGGCGCGCAGGAGGGAGGAGAGCCGGGGGUGCGGGAGGCUGGUGGGUGUCGGGGGUGGAGAUGUAGAAGAUGUGACGCCGCGGCCCGGCGGGUGCCAGAUUAGCAGACGCGGUGCCCGCGGUUGCAACGGGAUCCCGGGCGCUGCAGUUUGGGAGGCGGCUCUCCCCAGGCGGCGUCCGCGGAGACAGCCAUCCCUGAACCCCAGCUCCCGGGCCGCCGGCUCGCCGCGCACCAGGGGCCGGCGGACAGAAGAGCGGCCGAACGGCUCGAGGCUGGGGGACCGCGGGCGCGGCCGCGCGCUGCCAGGCGGGAGGCUGGGGGGCCGGGGCCGGGGCCGUGCCCCGGAGCGGGUCGGAGGCCGGGGCCGGGGCCGGGGAGCGGCGGCUCCCCGCGCGGCUCCAGCGGCUCGGGGUCCCCGGCAGGGCCCCGGAGGGACCAUG